GAGAGUCACUUUGCAUUGUGACACAUGCUUCAGUGCUCUGAGAGUGUUUAUAGUGCUGUGAGUUUAACACUUCAUGACUGAGAGCAGAACAGAACACAAUCUUCAUCAUCACACAAGACAAAAGAACAACAAUGAACACAAUCACCUUCUUCAUCUGGACUCUCACAAUGUUUGUUCAAGGUUUCAGUGGACAGGUGACUGUGACUCAAACCCCUUCUGUAAAAACGGUUCAGAUUGGUGAAUCUGUCACUAUAAACUGCAAAACAAACACAGCAGUGUAUGAUGGCUGUACAGGUUCAUAUACUUGUAUGGCCUGGUACCAGCAGAAACCUGGAGAAGCUCCUAAACUCCUCAUAUAUGCAGCAUCAAUCCGUCAUACUGGAACUCCAUCUAGAUUCAGUGGCAGUGGAUCCAGAACUGAUUUCACUCUGACCAUCAGUGGAGUCCAGACUGAAGAUACAGGAGAUUAUUACUGUCAGAGUUUACACUAUAUCAACAGUCAAUAUGUGUUCACACAGUGAUAAAGAGUGGUACAAAAACCUCGGUCAGUCAG